UACGUAGGGUGCAAGCGUUGUCCGGAAUUAUUGGGCGUAAAGAGCUCGUAGGCGGCUUGUCACGUCGGGUGUGAAAGCCCGGGGCUUAACCCCGGGUCUGCAUUCGAUACGGGCAGGCUAGAGUGCGGUAGGGGAGAUCGGAAUUCCCGGUGUAGCAGUGAAAUGCGUAGAGAUCGGGAGGAACAUCAGUUGCGAAGGCGGCUCUCUGGACCAGCACUGACACUGAGGCACGAAAGCGUGGGGAGCAAACAGG
rnacentral:rRNA from 1 species